UACAGAGGGUGCGAGCGUUGUUCGGAAUUACUGGGCGUAAAGCGCGCGUAGGCGGCUUUGUAAGUUAGAGGUGAAAGCCCGGGGCUCAACCCCGGAACUGCCUUUAAGACUGCAUCGCUUGAAUCCGGGAGAGGUGAGUGGAAUUCCGAGUGUAGAGGUGAAAUUCGUAGAUAUUCGGAAGAACACCAGUGGCGAAGGCGGCUCACUGGACCGGUAUUGACGCUGAUGUGCGAAAGCGUGGGGAGCAAACAGG
rnacentral:rRNA from 1 species